CUUGGAGGAGCUGUGACACUGGAUAGUCUGUCAUCGCACGUGACAGAGCUCCUCCAUUCACCAGUAACAGAAAGUUCCCGGCAGCCCCACAGCGGUGCACACAGGGAAACGAAGGGUCCGGCACAGGCGCAGAUGAGCGCACGUCGCGGGAGCGUGACGUCACCGGCCCUGCGUCCAGCGGUUCCUGUCUCCAUGUGGGUGUCUUCACGGGUGUUUUAAAGUAUAAAGGAAACGAAGGGUCCGGCACAGGCGCAGAUGAGCGCACGUCGCGGGAGCGUGACGUCACCGGCCCUGCGUCCAGCGGUUCCUGUCUCCAUGUGGGUGUCUUCACGGGUGUUUUAAAGUAUAAAGGAAACGAAGGGUCCGGCACAGGCGCAGAUGAGCGCACGUCGCGGGAGCGUGACGUCACCGGCCCUGCGUCCAGCGGUUCCUGUCUCCAUGUGGGUGUCUUCACGGGUGUUUUAAAGUAUAAAGGAAACGAAGGGUCCGGCACAGGCGCAGAUGAGCGCACGUCGCGGGAGCGUGACGUCACCGGCCCUGCGUCCAGCGGUUCCUGUCUCCAUGUGGGUGUCUUCACGGGUGUUUUAAAGUAUAAAGACAGGUGAAAUGAAUUGGAUCACCCAAUAGAACAUAAAAGGAGACCUUAGUGGUCAUUUGGUAUAUGCUCCUGAGGAAGCUGGUCACAUUACACCAGUGAAACGUGUUGAGCCUAAACACCACUGUGCCUUGCCGUCUGGAUCUCCUACUUGCAUGCUGGAUUUCAAGCUCCUUUGACCAAACGGAUUCCCCGCUUUACAGAGAACUCUUUCCUAGCUGAGGAAAAAAGUGGACUGCACCACCAUUACCUUGGCCUACCGGUAUCUAUUAAUCUCACCUCCAGACUUUGCUUAGUCUAAAAUCUGGUGAUGCUACUUUUCCCAAUGAUUGAAUGUAUCUAUGAGUCCUAGCCAGCCCUUUUGUGGAGACCUUUGGCAACCAUGCUACACCAGCACAG